rnacentral:rRNA from 1 species
GACGAACGCUGGCGGCGUGCUUAACACAUGCAAGUCGAACGGAAAGGCCCCCUUGUGGGGUACUCGAGUGGCGAACGGGUGAGUAACACGUGAGUAACCUCCCCUUGUCUUUGGGAUAACUUCAGGAAACUGGGGCUAAUACCGUAUAGGAGCUCCUGCUGCAUGGUGGGGGUUGGAAAGUUUCGGCGGCUGGGGAUGGACUCGCGGCUUAUCAGCUUGUUGGUGGGGUAGUGGCUCACCAAGGCUUUGACGGGUAGCCGGCCUGAGAGGGUGACCGGCCACAUUGGGACUGAGAUACGGCCCAGACUCCUACGGGAGGCAGCAGUGGGGAAUAUUGCACAAUGGGCGGAAGCCUGAUGCAGCAACGCCGCGUGCGGGAUGACGGCCUUCGGGUUGUAAACCGCUUUCGCCUGUGACGAAGCGUGAGUGACGGUAAUGGGUAAAGAAGCACCGGCUAACUACGUG